CUUGCUUCUCUUGAGAGCGGCGGACGGGUGAGUAAUGCCUAGGAAUCUGCCUGGUAGUGGGGGAUAACGUCCGGAAACGGACGCUAAUACCGCAUACGUCCUACGGGAGAAAGCAGGGGACCUUCGGGCCUUGCGCUAUCAGAUGAGCCUAGGUCGGAUUAGCUAGUUGGUGGGGUAAUGGCUCACCAAGGCGACGAUCCGUAACUGGUCUGAGAGGAUGAUCAGUCACACUGGAACUGAGACACGGUCCAGACUCCUACGGGAGGCAGCAGUGGGGAAUAUUGGACAAUGGGCGAAAGCCUGAUCCAGCCAUGCCGCGUGUGUGAAGAAGGUCUUCGGAUUGUAAAGCACUUUAAGUUGGGAGGAAGGGCAGUAAAUUAAUACUUUGCUGUUUUGACGUUACCGACAGAAUAAGCACCGGCUAACUCUGUGCCAGCAGCCGCGGUAAUACAGAGGGUGCAAGCGUUAAUCGGAAUUACUGGGCGUAAAGCGCGCGUAGGUGGUUCGUUAAGUUGGAUGUGAAAUCCCCGGGCUCAACCUGGGAACUGCAUUCAAAACUGACGAGCUAGAGUAUGGUAGAGGGUGGUGGAAUUUCCUGUGUAGCGGUGAAAUGCGUAGAUAUAGGAAGGAACACCAGUGGCGAAGGCGACCACCUGGACUGAUACUGACACUGAGGUGCGAAAGCGUGGGGAGCAAACAGGAUUAGAUACCCU
rnacentral:rRNA from 1 species